CGCGUAGGCGGUUACGUGUGUCAAGUGUGAAAUCUCCGGGCUCAACCCGGAAAGUGCGCUUGAAACUGCGUGACUAGAGUCUGGGAGAGGGAAUCGGAAUGCAGGGUGUAGCGGUGAAAUGCGUUGAUAUCCUGCAGAACACCGGAGGCGAAGGCGGAUUCCUUGAACGGUACUGACGCUGAGGCGCGAAAGUCGGGGGAGCAAACA
rnacentral:rRNA from 1 species